rfam:Octopus bimaculoides Scaffold38516_contig_2, whole genome shotgun sequence.
GUAUAAAUGGCUCUGGCUAUACUUAUACUAAGAUUGGAACAAUACAGAGAAGAUUAGCAUGACCCUGCGCAAGGAUGACAUGCAAAUUUGUGAAGAGUUCCAUAUUUCU